ACAUGCAAGUCGAACGGUAACGCGGGGCAACCUGGCGACGAGUGGCGAACGGGUGAGUAAUGCAUCGGAACGUGCCCAGUCGUGGGGAUAACGCAGCGAAAGCUGUGCUAAUACCGCAUACGAUCGUAGUGGAUGAAAGCGGGGGAUCGCAAGACCUCGCGCGAUUGGAGCGGCCGAUGUCAGAUUAGCUAGUUGGUGGGGUAAAGGCCCACCAAGGCGACGAUCUGUAGCUGGUCUGAGAGGACGACCAGCCACACUGGGACUGAGACACGGCCCCAGACUCCUACGGGAGGCAGCAGUGGGGAAUUUUGGACAAUGGGCGCAAGCCUGAUCCAGCAAUGCCGCGUGCAGGAAGAAGGCCUUCGGGUUGUAAACUGCUUUUGUACGGAGCGAAAAGGUCUUUCCUAAUACGGGAGGCUGAUGAACGGUACCGUAAGAAUAAGCACCGGCUAACUACAUG
rnacentral:rRNA from 1 species